UGUAACCUACCUAUAACAGGGGCAUAACACUGAGAAAUUGGUACUAAUUCCCCAUAAUAUUCGGAGAGGCAUCUCUCCGGGUUGAAAACUCCGGUGGUUAUAGAUGGACAUGCGUUGUAUUAGCUAGUUGGUGAGGUAACGGCUCACCAAGGCAACGAUACAUAGGGGGACUGAGAGGUUAACCCCCCACACUGGUACUGAGACACGGACCAGACUCCUACGGGAGGCAGCAGUGAGGAAUAUUGGUCAAUGGACGCAAGUCUGAACCAGCCAUGCCGCGUGCAGGAAGACGGCUCUAUGAGUUGUAAACUGCUUUUGUACGAGGGUAAACUCACCUACGUGUAGGUGACUGAAAGUAUCGUACGAAUAAGGAUCGGCUAACUCCGUGCCAGCAGCCGCGGUAAUACGGAGGAUUCAAGCGUUAUCCGGAUUUAUUGGGUUUAAAGGGUGCGUAGGCGGUUUGAUAAGUUAGAGGUGAAUCCCGGGGCUUAACUCCGGAACUGCCUCUAAUACUGUUAGACUAGAGAGUAGUUGCGGUAGGCGGAAUGUAUGGUGUAGCGGUGAAAUGCUUAGAGAUCAUACAGCACACCGAUUGCGAAGGCAGCUUACCA
rnacentral:rRNA from 1 species